UUUAAAUUUGUUUUAUUCAUUUUGGGUAGAUUAGAUUUAUAUCCAUACAAAGUUGAAGACUAGUGUACUGCAUCAACAUUUUCAAACUCUUUAGAAACAGUGAACCUGAAGUGAAAUCACACAUAUGACAUACAUAUGUAGUCCUUCUGACUAGUGAUCCAGAAUUCCACCUGCUCUGCAAAUACUCUCCUCCCAUUCACUGUGGCACCUUCACAGUCUUCCCAGGGCCCCCUGAGCAAUUCAGAGACUGCUGUACUUUUGUAUGAAACAAAGCCUUGAUGGUGUGGUGCAGGCAGUGGAUCUUAGGAGAGGCUUGCUGGGAGAUGGAGAAUAUGGAGGAAGGGGGGGAUAUGGGCUGUGCCCUGAAAGGGGACUCAUGUUUGCACCCAUGAAAAGAAGGGGAUGCAUUAUGUGGUAAAGUGCAGGCCAGGAAUAGGAUGAGCAGAGGCCCUCAAGCCAUGAAAGUGGGUGCGGUCAAGAGGUGGGGGUGUUAAUCAGGUUUCCACAAGAAAAAGAUGGCACACUCAGGCUGGGUAAUUGAGGAGAGUUUAAUAAAGGGGCAAUUGACAAAGAUGUGGGCAGGCCUUAGGGAAAACAACAAAGGAUAGUGCAGGAUCUUUGGCUAAUGGCAGCUGAGAGUAUCACUAGGGGCAAGAGGAGGUUGCUACUCCUGGAGCUGGACAGAGAGCCGGACGAGGCUGGUGUGGUGGCUCGCACUUGUAAUCCAAGCACUUUGGGAGGCCAAGAUGGGCAGAUUGCUUGAGCCCACGAGUUCGAGAUCAGCCUGGGCAAAAUGGUAAAACCCUGCCUCUAAAAAAAUAUAAAAAUUAACCAGGCAUGGUCGUGAGCGCCUGUAGUCCCAGCUACUUGAGAGGUUGAGGUGGGAGGAUACCUUGAGUGCAACAGGUCGAGGUUACAGUGAAUCGAGAUCAUGCCACCACACUCCAGCCUGGGCAUGCAGUGGCACUGGCAGGAGAGAGUGCUGGACCAACUGAUGGGAGAUAUGGCCUUUGGCAGAGAGAUAAAAUCUAUUCCUGGUGACCUUCAGAGAGGAAACCAGGGAAAUAAACACCUCAACUUCACUUUCUCCUGCCAGUGCCUCUCAUUGUCCAAACACAACUGGUUGCCAGAAGCCAAGGGAACCUGUAAAUAUCUAUCUCCCUGAAGCCCAGAGAAUGGUGGAAAAGUGUGGAGAUGGGAUCUGAAGGGACAAAUAGAAAAGAGCCACAUAGACAGCUGCUAGGUUAGGGCCCAAGGACCCGUAUGUUAGCUGUUGCCCCAAUGAUGCUGUGUAAUGAACAACCCAAAUCUCCAUGGGAUAUAUAUAUAUACAGCAUUAAGCAUUUAUUCUCACAGUCUGGGUUGACUGAUCUCAGCUGGGCUUGGUGGGACUGCUUUGCUGCAGGCUCUGAAGGUUGGGCUGGCUCUGCUUCUCAUCACAGGUCUGUUUGGCUGGGGCAGCUUUGUUCCAGGUGUGUUCACUCUAGGGCCCUGGCCACAGGAACAGAGGCGAAGGCCAGGGGAACUCUGCACGGUGAUGGCAGAUAUGCAAGAGGGCAAGCCCAGUGACCCUGGUGCUUUCCAAGGCUUUGGCUGUAUCACAUCCACCAACAUUGGCCAAAGCAAGGCGCGUGACUGAGCCCAAGUCAAAGGGCAGGAAAGUACACUCCUCCCAUAGAGAGGGGGAGCUGCCAGGUUACAUGGCAAAGAGGGUAGAUAUGGGGAGCUGUGAAGAAUGGAGCCAGUAAUUAAAUCCACUGAAGUCUCCACAGGAGGGCAAGGUGGAAAAUCUGUCCCAUAGGAGGCGGAUUCAGGAGGGCAGCUGUGAAUGGUGCAAAUGCCAUUUAUGCUCCUCUCCACCCAUAUCCAUUCUUCCUUCCUUGCAUAGGCAUGGAAUUUUUAGCUUGGCAUCUAACUGUAAUUCCCAGCUAAAGACUGUAUUUCUCAGCCUCCCUUGCAACUAGGUGAGGCUAUGUGACUACGUUCUGGUUAAAGAGAUGUGAGUGGAAAUGACGAAUGCAAAUUCUGCCCUUAAAGGGAGAAAUUUCAUUUCAUCACCCCUCUCUUAAGCCCACUGCCUGGACUGUGGAUGUGGUGCUGAGCCCUUUUGGACAAUGCAAACGAGGGCACUGGCUGAGAGACUGCAGGACAACGAGAUAGUCACAGUGCGGCUCCCUGGGCUAGUUGCAUACGUAAAAUUAGGGCCAGGGAGAGAUGCAUCUAUCUUAUUCACCUGCUAUCACUUUGGGUCUUUAUUUCAGCAGCCAAAUCUAUAUUUAAUACAAAUUGAUAGGAACUUCUACACUCAUACCCAAAGAAGAGAUGACACACAAAGAGGUACGACUUCAUUUUUUUCCCAGCAUUUACUGGCCUAAAGGUGCAGAGAUACCAUAAUUUUAGUUUUUUUCCCAUGUCAUCCCUCUCCAAUAUUUGGAAAGGAAGCAUUCUCAGUGAGAAAACUGUCAAAGCAAACUUCCUUAAUGCUAUCAGGACAAGCAAUGCCAGGACUUGUUCUUUUUGUGGGCAAGGGACCUGGCGUAAGAGGAAAGAGGAGGGAAAGAGCUAUCUGCCAUUUGUUUGAAUACGUCUCACUUCUAGAAAGUAGAGAGCAGGACUGAGGCCAGGCACGGUGGCUCAUGCCUGUAAUCCCAGCACUUUGGGAGGCCGAGGCGGGCGGAUCACCUGAUAUCGGGAGUUUGAGUCCAGCCUGACCAACAUGGAGAAACCCCAUCUCUACUAAAAAUACAAAAUUAGCUGGGCGUGGUAGCGCAUGCCUGUAAUCCCAGCUACUCAGGAGGCUGAAGCAGGAGAAUCGCUUGAACCUGGGAGGUGGAGGUUGCGGUGAGCUGAGAUCGUGCCAUUGCACUCCAGCCUGGGCAACAAGAGUGAAACUCUUGUCUCAAAAAAAUAAAUAAAUACAUAAAAAAAGAAAGUAGAGAGCAGGAUUGAAACCUGGGCCUGUUUGGCUCCAAAGCCCAUGCUCCAUUCAUUCAACACUAAUUAAAGUAGAGGACUCUGUGAGAGGCUCAGUGACUCUAGAAUCUAGGGUGUUUUCUCCAAAUUAGAUCUCUCUGACAACCAUAGCAUUGGAGGCCAAAAUCAGUCUUUGCUCAUUGACAAGGAAGGGAUUGGUCAGUGCAUUUAUCUAAAGUGUGCAAAUCAGGAUUCCUACACCUCCCUGGUUCUUUCACAAAGAGGGUAUUCUUGGUGGCUGGUCUGUUUCCUGUGGCCAAGAAGAACAGAAUACAAUGCACAAAGCCCAGGCAGUCAAUAAGAUCAGUGUUAAAACACAGAAGACAGCAUGACAGAGAGGAAGCCAGGAGACAAUGGGUUCAAAUCCCACCUCUUGGGAAAACUAUUUAACCAGCCUGAUUUUCAGUUUCCCUGGAUAGGAGCUGGAGAUAAUAUAGGUCAACUUCCUAACCACAGUAGGUGUUAUAAUAGCUAUUCCAGAGCCAGCACUUCGUACUUAUUUAUGUCAUGCCUGAUCCAGCUCCUUUGCUCCAUGGCAUAGGAAUUGAUUUUAAGAAUCUUACAACUCCCUGAAGCUUCCAGGCAUGAUUUAGUGGGGUAGAGGCAAUGAGUGAUGAUUAAAGAAUAUAGAAACCUCUGGCACCAAAUGUUAGAAGACCAGCCAAUGGACAAUUCUCCAUCCCUGGCCCAGAGGACUAAAUGGAGACCCCUUGGUUAAGCUCAUUUAAUCACCUGUCUGGAUGAAUUGUCAGAAGGAGCCCCCGCCCUGGCAGCUGACCCCCUCCCCAAGUUGCACGGUGAUCCUUGCUUUGCAAACUCAAGGCUAGUAAGUCCUUGGAGGAGGCUGGAGGCUGGGAUACAAUCCCGGCUAUGAAGGCAGGGCUGGCUGGAGAUCAUUCAUUCAUAUACUCAUUCACUGAAAAAAUGUGAAAACCACUCAAAACCUCUGAGAAAUUAAAGUUGGUUUUCAUAGGUCUGCUUCCCUCUGGCCUUCUGCUCACCUGGCAUAACCUGUGCAUGCUACAUACUUAUUUGAACAGGGGUAUGUAGGAGAGGAAGGAUGAAAGAGUGAAACAAAAUAUUGUCAACAUCUGCCUUGUGACUUAGAAAAUAAAUAUGAUGCCAUGCCCUUAAGGGAUUCUUCUGAGAAAAAUGAAGUUAUUGCACAAAGAAACAGAUUCUUAGAAAGACUGAAAAAUUUGCUUGUACUUCUAAAACUGUUGAGUAUGACUAAGAAAUGAGAUGCCCCAUCACACUGCCAUUUAGGACGGGUUCCAAAACGUUUCCCUGACUCAGGGCCAUAUUUUGGUAAAGAGAAUGAAGAGAAUGAGUCUGGUUUACCAUGUGAUUCCUUUACUCAAUCUUCCAUUCACACACACACACACACACACACACACACACACACACACACACGCACCAACUAUUAGCAACAUCAUGAAUUCCUUCACUUCUCCUGUUUGGCUUCUCUAUUUAUUUAUUUAUUAUUUUAUUUAUUUUUGAGAUGGAGUAUUGCUCUGUCACCCAGUCUGGAGUGCAAUGGCGCGAGCUCAGCUCACUGUAACCUCCGCCUCCCAGGUUCAAGCAGUUUUUGUGCCUCAGCCUCCCAAGUGGCUGGGAUUACAGGUGCCUGCCACCACGCCCAGCUAAUUUUUUUUUUUUCCAGUAGAGACAGGGUUUCACCAUGAUCCACCCGCCUUGGCUUCCCAAAGUACUGGGAUUAUCAGUGUGAGCCACCACGCCUGGCUUUUAAUAUUUUUUUCGAAAAGGUCUUGACUCUGUCACCCAGACUGGAGCUCAGUGGCACAAUCUCAGCUCACUGCAGCCUUGACCUCCCAGGCUCAAGUGUUCCUCCCACCUCAGCCUCCCCAGUAGCUGGGACUACAGGCAAGCACCACCACACCCAGCUAACUUUUGUAUUUUUUGUAGAGAUGGGGUUUCACCAUGAUGGCCAGGCUGGCCUUGAAUUCCUGGGCCUGAGCCAUCCUCCCACCUUGGCCUCCCAAAGUGCUAGGAUUACAGGCAUAAGCCACCAUGCCUGGCCUCUGUCUUAAUUCAUUAAGUUUUAGGCUUUUCAGCUAACCUGUAGAUUAUCUAACACAGUGAAGGGGUUUUCUCUUUUAUUACCCAGAGCACUUGGUGCAGGAGCCAGUUCUACCUCCAGGUGUGGUUUGUUGGGAAAGGAUUCAGAUAAGAAGUGAUGCUUGAGCUGAAUCUUAAAGGAGGUGUUUUCCAGGUAAAGGAGGCAGGGAAAGAAAACCCAGGGGGAGUAUGGAGGUGAUAAAGAGGCUAGUGGAAGGUGCAGGUGCAUAGUCUGGCUGUGCUAGUGCCAGGGCAUGGGUGAUGGGUCCCACCUGGAAAGAAGGCUAGACUUGGAGUUGGGAACCAGGUACCAAGUGCCUUACGGCCCCUGCAGGUAUGUCCUGAGCCCAACCAGGAUUGUUUGGAAGAUUUUAAGCCGAGGGUGAGAGGUAGGAUGGAUUCAGAUUUGGGGACCUGAGUGGGGAACCUGAUCAGAUUUGCUUUUUGGAAAGUGACUGUGACAGAUACGUGAGCCAUGGGCAAGUCUUCAACCUGAGCCUCAGUUUCCUCAUUUCUCAAGCAGGAACAAUAGAUGUGCGUGAAGACUGGAAGCGAUAAUGUAUGUGAAAAGUGGUAUAUGUCAACUAUUAUUACAUGACUUUGAGUCACGAAUGAGCUAACAUGCUUACGUUCUCAAGAAGAGAUCAGUUUCGUCAUCUGCUUGGUAUUGUUUCUUGAUUUAUACAGCUGUUUCCUCAAGCAUUUUUCUUUAAAUGGGAGCAGCUAUUACUAUUUUUUGUCUGUUUCAGCUUCAACUCUGUUACAAAUUGGAAGGAACGAGUUGUUGAACAUUGAUCGUAGAAAAGGAAAAGAAAGUUUUUAUUUUUUGCCUUGUUGUGCAUUCAUUCUUUCAAAAGCUGUUUAGAGGAAAA
rnacentral:lncRNA from 1 species